UCUUACUGUCCCUGGAAUUUAUUCUAUGAGAUCAAAGGUUGUUCUGGUUGUCAGUUGUAUAAUGUCUGAUUUCUUUCAUUAUUUUAGUGCUCAGUGCAGUCAUCCAUGGAAAUGGUGAAGAUAAAUCAAGGCCUAAACUGAUAGCUGAUAACACAGCUUGUCCAGUAGGGGGCAGUGUGACCCUGACCUGCUCUAUGAACCAUUCAUCAUUAUCUGGAUGGAAAUAUGACUGGUACAGAGACAAUUCUGGUGUACUUGUAAGCCCAGAGGAUGCAGUUUUCCUAUCAAAUGGACAAAUCAGAGUCUCACAAGGAGGACGUUACUGGUGCAUAGGAAAAAGAGUAAACCCAGUUUACCACUCGGAGUACAGUGAGUCAGUUUGGCUUGACACAACUGUGUCAAACAGGCCUGUUGUGACUCUGUAUCCAAACUGGUCUGAGAUAUACAGAGGAGAGACGAUCACUGUCAGAUGUGAGAUCCAUGGAGGAGACACUGAGUGGGAUUAUGAGUGGGAAACAAACAGCAUGAUAAAAGCUCCAAAUCAAAAUGAAUACAGGAUUAGAUCUGCUUCAUCAUCCAACAG